rnacentral:rRNA from 1 species
UCCAUGUGACUGGAGUUCAGACGUGUGCUCUUCCGAUCUGCUGAAUCCGGUGCUGACGAGCGGCGAACGGGUGAGUAACGCGUAGGAAUCUACCCAGUAGCGGGGGAUAGCCAGAGGAAACUCUGAUUAAUACCGCAUACGCCCUGAGGGGGAAAGGGGGCAAUUUAUUGCUCUCACUAUUGGAUGAGCCUGCGUAAGAUUAGCUUGUUGGUAGGGUAAAGGCCUACCAAGGCUACGAUCUUUAGCUGGUCUGAGAGGACGAUCAGCCACAUUGGGACUGAGACACGGCCCAGACAUCUACGGAUGGCAGCAGUUAAGAAUAUUGGACAAUGGGGGCAACCCUGAUCCAGGUAUACCGCGUGUGUGAAGAAGGCCUUAGGGUUGUAAAGCACUUUAAUCAGAGAAGAAGCAUUUUAAGUUAAUACCUUAAUUUGUUGACGUUAACUGAAGAAUAAGGACCGGCUAACUCCGUGCCAGCAGCCGCGGUAAUACGGAGGGUCCAAGCGUUAAUCGGAAUUACUGGGCGUAAAGCGCGCGUAGGCGGUUUAGCAAGUUGUAUGUGAAAGCCCUGGGCUCAACCUAGGAACUGCAUCCAAAACUACUAAGCUAGAGUACGAGAGAGGAGAGUAGAAUUUCUGGUGUAGCGGUGAAAUGCGUAGAUAUCAGAAGGAAUACCAAUGGCGAAGGCAGCUCUCUGGCUCGUAACUGACGCUGAGGUGCGAAAGCGUGGGUAGCAAACAGGAUUAGAUACCCUGGUAGUCCACGCCGUAAACGAUGACAACUAGCCGUUGGGCAGAUUUAACUGUUCAGUGGCACAGCUAACGCAUUAAGUUGUCCGCCUGGGGAGUACGGCCGCAAGGCUAAAACUCAAAUGAAUUGACGGGGGCCCGCACAAGCGGUGGAGCAUGUGGUUUAAUUCGAUGCAAC